GUAGUCCACGCUGUAAACGAUGAUUACUAGGUGUGGGGGGAUUGACCCCUUCCGUGCCGCAGUUAACACAAUAAGUAAUCCACCUGGGGAGUACGACCGCAAGGUUGAAACUCAAAGGAAUUGACGGGGGCCCGCACAAGCAGUGGAGUAUGUGGUUUAAUUCGAAGCAACGCGAAGAACCUUACCAGGUCUUGACAUCGAGUGACGUAUCCAGAGAUGGAUAUUUCCUUCGGGACACAAAGACAGGUGGUGCAUGGUUGUCGUCAGCUCGUGUCGUGAGAUGUUGGGUUAAGUCCCGCAACGAGCGCAACCCUUAUCAUUAGUUGCUACGCAAGAGCACUCUAAUGAGA
rnacentral:rRNA from 1 species